GGAGAGGUCGCAUAGUGGUUUAGUGCAACGGUCUUGAAAACCGUCAGGUCUCAAAGCCUCGAGGGUUCGAAUCCCUCCCUCUCCGCCA
rnacentral:tRNA from 1 species